rnacentral:rRNA from 1 species
AGAGUUUGAUCUUGGCUCAGAACGAACGCUGGCGGCGUGGAUAAGACAUGCAAGUCGAACGGAACAAUUUGGUAGUAAUAUUGGAUUGUUUAGUGGCGAACGGGUGCGUAACACGUGGGUAACAUGCCGGGAAGUAUGGGAUAGCCCAGGGAAACUUGGAUUAAUACCAAAUGUGAUCGAAAGAUUAAAGGCGGGGUAACCUGCCGCUUCCUGAUUGGCCCGCGGCCUAUCAGCUAGUUGGUGAGGUAAAGGCUCACCAAGGCGACGACGGGUAGCUGGUCUGAGAGGAUGGCCAGCCACACUGGAACUGAGACACGGUCCAGACACCUACGGGUGGCAGCAGUCGAGAAUCAUUCACAAUGGGGGAAACCCUGAUGGUGCGACGCCGCGUGGAGGAUAAGGUCCUCGGAUUGUAAACUCCUGUUAUGCGAGAGCAAAGUUAAUGGGGUAACUCCUGUUGACCUGAUAGUAUCGCAAGAGGAAGAGACGGCUAACUCUGUGCCAGCAGCCGCGGUAAUACAGAGGUCUCAAGCGUUGUUCGGAAUCACUGGGCGUAAAGGGUGCGUAGGCGGCGUGGAAAGUCAGAUGUGAAAUCCGGGGGCUCAACCUCCGAAUAGCAUCCGAUACUCCCAUGCUAGAGAACUGGAGGGGAGUCUGGAAUUCUCGGUGUAGCAGUGAAAUGCAUAGAUAUCGAGAGGAACACUAGUGGCGAAGGCGAGACUCUGGACAGUAUCUGACGCUCAUGCACGAAGGCCAGGGGAGCGAACGGGAUUAGAUACCCCGGUAGUCCUGGCAGUAAACGGUGCACGUUUGGUGUGGGGGGAUUCGACCCCUUCCGCGCCGGAGCUAACGCGUUAAACGUGCCGCCUGGGAAGUACGAUCGCAAGAUUAAAACUUAAACGAAUUGACGGA